rnacentral:rRNA from 1 species
CAGAGGUUCGAAGGCGAUCAGAUACCGCCCUAGUUCUGACCGUAAACGAUGCCACCUGACGAUCCGCCAGGGUUACUACCAUGACUCGGCGGGCAGUCCCCGGGAAACCCAAGCCUUCGGGUUCCGGGGGAAGUAUGGUUGCAAAGCUGAAACUUAAAGGAAUUGACGGAAGGGCACCACCAGGAGUGGAGCCUGCGGCUUAAUUUGACUCAACACGGGGAACCUCACCCGGCCCGGACACCGCGAGGAUUGACAGAUUGAGAGCUCUUUCUCGAUUCGGUGGGUGGUGGUGCAUGGCCGUUCUUAGUUGGUGGAGCGAUUUGUCUGGUUAAUUCCGAUAACGAACGAGACUCUAGCCGGUUAAGUAGCCCGAGCGGUUUUUGAUCUUUGCCGUUCAUCCCCGUUCGACCUCU